AAGGAUCAGCCAUCAGCACGCUUCCUGUCAUGUGACCUCUUAAGUUCCUCCUUCCUGACAGCCUCUGGGGGGCAGGCAUUGGGACUCCAAAGUGGCUUGAGACUGAACUUGCCGCUAAAGUCACCUCCUCAGUCAAGUUUGUCCGUCAAGAGCAGGCCUUCAUGCUCCGGUUCAAAUCAUACCCACUCUCCCUUAACUCCGGUGACAACCACCCCCUUGCUACAGAUACGCUCCACUAAUCAAAGACCUCAGUGAGGAGCGAGAGAUGAAGGAGAUGGCCUCAGAAGUGGCAGAGUCACGACUGGCUACAGAGAUACACGUCCACACCGAUGCAAGAGGGUCCUGUUAGCUGAGGCUGUGGACCCAGACACAGUUCCGAUACUUACUCAGGAACAAAGAGCUGACAUCAUA
rnacentral:lncRNA from 1 species